GAUGAAGAACGUAGUGAAAUGCGAUAAGUAAUGUGAAUUGCAGAAUUCAGUGAAUCAUCGAGUCUUUGAACGCACAUUGCGCCCCCUGGUAUUCCGGGGGGCAUGCCUGUCCGAGCGUCAUUGCCGCCCUCAAGCACGGCUUGUGUGUUGGGCCCCCGCCCCCCGGCUUCGGGGGGCGGGCCCGAAAGGCAGCGGCGGCACCGCGUCCGGUCCUCGAGCGUAUGGGGCUUCGUCACCCGCUCUGUAGGCCCGGCCGGCGCCCGCCGGCGACCCCAAUCAAUCUUUCCAGGUUGACCUCGGAUCAGGUAGGGAUACCCGCUGAACUUAAGCAUACAAUAAGCGGAGGA
rnacentral:misc_RNA from 1 species